CAUAAUAAACCGAUAAAUAAACAAAAGAACCCUUUUACGUACAGAAUCUUAUCGUACGAAUCACAUCAUCACACUAUGAAACCCGUCUAUUUUACCCCAUAAUUCCCCGUGUCACAUGCGAAGACAAAGCAAGGCCCCCAGAUCUUUCAUACGCCAGGAGUACUGCCCCAGCAUCUGAAAGGAUGGCUUCCUUUCCCAAAAAGAUGGGGCCGUUUGAUAAACCAGUAGUCUCACAAAGAACGGGCAAAUUCAACUUCAACUUGGAGUCAGAUACUAAUAUGGACACAAUUCGAGUCUGAUGACUCGCUGACUGAUCCAUCCAUCAUACAACAGCUUCAACUUCAACAGCGUUCACUGCACCAGAGCAAGUUUCACACCGAAUUUUCGCAUCAGUAGAAAUUUUGUUCCCUUGAUGCUGAAUUCCAAGACCAACCGUAAAGAAAAAUAUAAAAGCUCAAAUGCUUAGUAACAUUUAUACAAUGUAGAAAUCAAAGAAUCAGUCUAAUAAAGGACUCCAAUAACUGCAUAAAUCAUGUGUUUGCUCAUAGAAAAUAGCUCAAUCUAGAGAUGAAGUUCCAAAGCAAACAUAGUGUCAAACUCCGAAGGGAAGAGGUUCAUCGGUAUUAUGCAGCAUAUAUGGUCAGUGGGUCAGUUGUCCGACAGAGAAGACAUCGGUUUCAGGGCACUACUUCAACCAUGAUAAUACCAUCUUCAGUCCAUUUUGUUGUCAUAUUAUCAUUCUUUUCUCCGAGGUUCGCUGAAUUCGUAUAUUCUCUGAUGUAAUUUGCAUAGUUGUUGACUGCAGAAAUGAGGCGAUGUACAUGGACUGCACAUUAGGUAAAUGACAUUCCCAAGAGGUCUUAUGUAAAGACCAUCAGCACGAAGCUGUUGGACCAGAGAACUUGCGUAUAAUGAUGCAUAUCUGCACAGAAGUUGGAUCCAUCAGUUAGCUGCCAGAAAGAAAUCCAUUAAUUCCAGAAUAUCCUGUCUAUGGUGUUUUUGUUUAGAUAUUAUCAAAGUAUCACUAUAAUCAGAGCUCCAUCGAUAGGGAUAGUCAACAGGAGCAGGAAGUACU
rnacentral:lncRNA from 1 species